rnacentral:rRNA from 1 species
UACGAAGGGUGCAAGCGUUACUCGGAAUUACUGGGCGUAAAGCGUGCGUAGGUGGUUCGUUAAGUCUGUCGUGAAAGCCCGGGCUCAACCUGGGAAUGGCGAUGGAUACUGGCGGGCUAGAGUGCGGUAGAGGAGAGUGGAAUUCCCGGUGUAGCAGUGAAAUGCGUAGAGAUCGGGAGGAACAUCAGUUGCGAAGGCGGCUCUCUGGACCAGCACUGACACUGAGGCACGAAAGCGUGGGGAGCAAACAGGG